GGGGGAGGCGUGAGAGGGGGAUCUCAGGGGAGGAGGUCAAUCGCUUGCCCCCCACUUUGGCAAAUUGGGGACUGAGGACUGGAAGGGUGGAGAGUAGGCGGAACCAGGUGGUCGUCGGGGCAGAGGAUCUCGGGCUAGGCUUGAGGGCGGCGUGCUUCUUAGGGACGACUUAGGGCGUGACUGAGGGUUCACAAGGUUUCUUUUGGGGUGGUCGGGAGGGAGAGAUUCUAGGGAACAAGGAAGCUCGCUAUGGCUUUCUUGCCAGGAGGGGUCGAAGGGAAAGUACAAGGGAGCUGGAGCUGACCCUGGGUAGAACGGGUGAAGGGAUGGGGGAGCGUGAGGUUCCGCCCUCUCUUGAGACUGGAACCAAUUGAGGGACUAGUAGGGCAGGGGGACAGAAAUUGGGCUCCUAGUGGAUUUGGGUCCGUUUCCGUUGGGACGUUUUGGGUGUGAGAACUUAAGAGCUCAGUUGACCGGGGAUAGCCUGUGCCGGAGUUGAUCUGCAGCUUCCAGCACUCGUAGUCGGGAAGAGGAGCUUCAGCAGCGCUGUUGUCCCACAAAAGCCUCGAUAUCCUUAAUUCACCAAGGAUCCUUGGCGUGGAGUCUUCCUCCCUUCUCCCAAGUCUUUCUCCGUGAACUUUUCCUCCUGGACUUUGCUAAAGCAGAACCUCCCAGCUCUUUGCUGUCUCCGGUUGUCUCUUCCCUGUAUUCAUGGCAACAUCAGCUGACAGCCCCAGUUCACCCCUCGGGGC
rnacentral:lncRNA from 1 species